GAUGAACGCUGGCGGCGUGCCUAACACAUGCAAGUCGAGCGAUCUUCUUCGGAAGAGAGCGGCGGACGGGUGAGUAACGCGUGGGUAACCUGCCCUGUACACACGGAUAACAUACCGAAAGGUAUGCUAAUACGAGAUAAUAUGCUUUUAUCGCAUGGUAGAAGUAUCAAAGUUUUUGCGGUACAGGAUGGACCCGCGUCUGAUUAGCUAGUUGGUAAGGUAACGGCUUACCAAGGCGACGAUCAGUAGCCGACCUGAGAGGGUGAUCGGCCACAUUGGAACUGAGACACGGUCCAAACUCCUACGGGAGGCAGCAGUGGGGAAUAUUGCACAAUGGGCGAAAGCCUGAUGCAGCAACGCCGCGUGAGCGAUGAAGGCCUUCGGGUCGUAAAGCUCUGUCCUCAAGGAAGAUAAUGACGGUACCUGAGGAGGAAGCCCCGGCUAACUACGUGCCAGCCGCCGCCGUAAUAC
rnacentral:rRNA from 1 species